rnacentral:rRNA from 1 species
AUUGAACGCUGGCGGCAGGCCUAACACAUGCAAGUCGAGCGGAUGAAGGGAGCUUGCUCCUGGAUUCAGCGGCGGACGGGUGAGUAAUGCCUAGGAAUCUGCCUGGUAGUGGGGGAUAACGUCCGGAAACGGGCGCUAAUACCGCAUACGUCCUGAGGGAGAAAGUGGGGGAUCUUCGGACCUCACGCUAUCAGAUGAGCCUAGGUCGGAUUAGCUAGUUGGUGGGGUAAAGGCCUACCAAGGCGACGAUCCGUAACUGGUCUGAGAGGAUGAUCAGUCACACUGGAACUGAGACACGGUCCAGACUCCUACGGGAGGCGGCAGCGGGGAAUAUUGGACAAUGGGCGAAAGCCUGAUCCAGCCAUGCCGCGUGUGUGAAGAAGGUCUUCGGAUUGUAAAGCACUUUAAGUUGGGAGGAAGGGCAGUAAGUUAAUACCUUGCUGCUUUGACGUUACCAACAGAAUAAGCACCGGCUAACUUCGUG